GGUGCCAUAGCUCAGUUGGUAGAGCACAGGACUGAAAAUCCUGGUGUCGCUGGUUCAAUUCCAGCUGGCACCACCC
rnacentral:tRNA from 1 species